AAGACUCGCUUAGCCCCAGAGCGCACACUUGUGAACACCGGAGUGAGAAUUGCUGCCUGGUUUACAGUUUUGUUCGUCUUGUAUGUAGUUUUGUAUUUUAUAAUUCAGGGAGCAUUGAGCACUCACUUGCAUAUUUGACACAGAAUUCAAAGGCGAAUAAGAUUCUAUCCUUAACAUACAUGUUGAAUCAAUAUUUGUGCGGUGACUGAAGGAAACAAGGUGAUUAUUUGUGGUCCAUUCAUGUCCUGUGCCCGUGGAAGCUCCCCAUCAUCCUCUGCGACAGCAGAAAGCCGUUGUGCUUACCUUGUUGGCACACAGGAAACUAGGUGCCCACUGCUGGCUCCAGCCACGGGCCUGGCCAGACGUGUUUGCUGAGGGCACUUUUAGUUCUUUCUUUGUAAUGUUAGUAUUACAAUCAGCUGCACUAUAAGCAGACUUCUUUAUUAUACAUUUUAUUUGAAUAUUCUGAGCCGCUAAGACUUAAGGAAAGGGUAGCAUUGGGUGGAUUUGUGUAAACCUGCGCUGUCCACCACAGUGUCCUAAGCCAUGUGCGGCUGUUGAGCCCUUGAAAUGUGGCCACUUCAAAACGAUGUUCUGUGUAUAUAAAUUCCAGCAGAUUACAGGGACUUCGGGUAAAAAGGAAUGUAAACUACUCUGUUAAUACCUUUUAACACCAAUUACAUGUUGAAAUGAUGUUCCAUAUCCUGGUUAUGUUUGGUUAAGUAAAAUACAUUAUUGAAAU